AAAGGGACAGUGCAUCAACUCCAUGGGCUCAGCUGGCUGCAGGACGGGAUCAGGGGAGUGCUCUCAGUCACAUACUAUUCCUCAGCUUGCUCAGUAGAUAGAAGAGUCCUGGAGGUGAUGCUCUUCUCACAGGUCUUCAUGGUUUGUUUCACACUUGUUGGAGAAUCGGUAGCACUGGCUCCCUGUCUUGACAAAGAUAUGUCACAGAGUAUGGGGCAGCAGGGCAGAAAUACACCUGAGAGGAUCAAAGCAAGUCUGAAGGUGGGGGACUAAAGAACAGAGAGGUCAGCAGGAAAUGAGGUAACUAAUGAAUACAUUAAAAUGCUCACAAGGUAGGUGGCUAACGCAAGAUGGGUUGGGCCAAGGAUAUCACAUGUUCAGAACAGCGCUGUAGGCUUCCUAAACCACUCACUCCUCUCAGGGUAGGAAUCACUGUGUGAUUUGUUCAUGUGUCAGAGGUCAAGACGAUGAGCACAAUGGUCUCUUCUGACUACAAAACUUUUGGAUUGUUUGUAGUUCACCAAGCUCACAAACUGUGUUUGCAAUUUUUUUGUCAAAGUGAUUCUUUAGCAAAAUCUGUGUUCUCCCACUGAUUUUCUUUCUCACUUAAGAGAAAACUAAUCUAAAGUUUUGCCACUGAAAAACCUGAGACAGAAUAUUUCUACUUGUUAUACUACUGCUGCGAGUUUUCUUUGACAGUUUGUAAUGGAUUGUGGCAGCUGCAGCUCAAACUCCCGACCUGAAGCUCAGCUCCUUUUCAAAAGAUGCAGGAGCUGCUCUGCUUUGAUCAAGCUGUACAGAACAUUGCAGGAGUCACAUGGCUGUAGGAGAAUCACAAAACUUGUGAACUGGCCAGAAAAGGGGGAACAUCAGGUUUUCGAACAGUAAUUUCCAAGAUUUUUUUAAUAAUGAUUAGUUUCUCAGUCAAUUCAAUGAAACUUUUCUGUUUCUAAGAUGGACCAAUGCUCAUUUAACAGGUCAUUUUCAUUUGGAAUAAAAAAUAAUUCUGGAUUUUCCCACGAGACAGAGUCUGUAGUUUUCAUUCAUGUGACACUUGCAUUGAAGAUAAAGUUCAAAAUAUUGCUUAGUAAAGCAAUGACAAGGAAGAUGUCCUUAAUUUAGUUUUAAUAUCUUAAAUAAAUAAAUAAAUAAGCCUCCAUAUUUAGGGGAAACAGUUUUAUAAACGCUGUGAAUACGGUUCAUGCUGUUUGAUUAAGACCAAUCAGGGAUGCAAGAGAGGAAAGUGGAACUCUGUCUACACACAGAACAUAGUUCAGAUUCUUCACUCUAUGUUAAGGGCACUCAACUGCAUUAGGAGCCUCCUGUGUGGUUUGGAUCUCUGGAUGUCCAUAGUCCUCUUCCUGGUUUGUCCACAAUUUUCUCUGCUGAGUAAUUUACCACCUACCCCUUUUCUGAGAGCAUUUUGGGGUCCAGAAAUUAAGUGAACCUCCAUUAAACAGCUUGGAUUAAAGAUUAAAUUUACCCUGCCUGACAAAGGCAAGUUUCUUUCAAAAUUAAGUAAGUGCAAGUGUUGACAGAUAUUUUUGGUAUAACGACUUUACAAAGAGUGCGAAGUUUAAGUUCGGGUCCCUACUUUGCUGUUUGUCUGCCCCAAUCUUUGCUGCCCAAAGGCCAUCCUGAUGACCCGGUAUAACUCAUUGCAAAAGAAGUGGAAGGACAGAGAGAAUCUGAACAAUAUCUUUAAGAUUAAGAAUUAAGGUCUUUUCCAAUGUAAAUGAUUCUAUGAUUCUACACCAUUUGUUGAAGUAGUGACAUGCUGCAGCAAAGGAUGGCUUUUCAAUGGCCCGAGAGGAAUAAAUAGAGGGGACACAAGAGGGACCUGGAAUCUGUAUCCCAAGUGUUUGACUUGGGAUUAUUGCAAAAGCAGUGCUUAAAGGUGGAGCUGUAAUGUUCACACCCUCGUUUCCUUAAAACAGGCACCUGAAUAGGUAUUUACAGUAAAUCUGAUUUUAGUCCUUCAAUUAAUUCUCAAAGUACAAAGAUAGGGACAAUAAUAGCUACCUUCUCACAGAGAAGAUGUGAAAAUAAAUUUUUGAAUGCAUAUGAAAUUCUUGGGUACUAUCCUCAAUUUUUCCAUAGCAGUAGUUGGGUGGAAAUUAAUCAGCUUGCCUUUAGAUAAGGCAUUGAAUAAGUGGGCAGCUAUUAAGGAAAAGACAAAACAUUAGAGAAUUGCUCAUGGCUUUGCAGCAAUCUGUUAUUAAAAAGAAGUAUAAGUGAUAAUACUAUGACAAGUAUAAAAGCCUUUACUACAUAGAAAACACUAUUCUCUUAAGCACUUCAUGUCUGUGAACUGAUGAGUGAGCUAAAUUCUGCUUUUCUGAGAGGGUUGUUUAAGGACGCCUCUGUCAGUAUACAUUCCACUAUUGAUAUCUAAAAUCAGACAAAUGUGCUGAAAAUCCAAAUCUAUGUCUGUGUUCAUAUCCAAAAAAGACUGUUUGGCACAAUCCUGCAAAUGUGUUUUUCUGACAAAAUACUUAUGUAAAGUGACAAGAAAGAAAUUAGAGUAUCCCUGGAAAUGGAUGGAGGUUGCAUCUUUUUCAGUAUGAAGUCAUGUCUUUAUGUGACUACACGUCUUCAUUCUCAUAUUUACUUUCAUUCUCCUGUGUGGCAUAUAUUUAUUUGGCACAUAAAUAUUUUAUCUGCUUUUAAACUGGAGUGGUCAGAUAAGAGGUAAUAUUUAAGGAUGUGGAGGGUCUUGUGACAGAUGGGGUCACAGAUAAGAAUAAAAGGCACACAAAGAAGCUACUGAAUGGUUAGAAGCUCCUUUUAAGAAAGGGUAAGACUACAUUGCUGAGAGAACCACCACUUCCAAUCUACUCAGCAUCUCAUGAAUGACCUUGUUUAUAGAAAUGCUCGAAAUUUUUUGACCAGUCUCACUUGUUUGCACACAAAUUAGAGCUCUACAUUCAUGAACUGUUUUUUUUGAAAGUUGUCUUUAGACGAUGCCCGGAGCACUUCUGUAUAACCAUAUUUACUGUAUUCCAGCAAGUGCUUUUUAGUAGCCCGAAACAAUUUCAGUAAGCAAGCAGUAAAGUGAGAUCUAAUAAAAUUUUGCAUCCAAUAAAUUAGGUGAUUCUCUUUUUAUAUUUCACUGGGAUAAUGGAAGAGUUAUAUUAAUUUAUCUUCAUAAUUUGAGGCAGCAGAUAUCUGCUGUCAGAUAGACUCUGAGGUCCCUUCAUUUGAAGAUUCCUGGGGGCACUGGUUGCCCAGGAGCAUCAGUCUUCUCCUCUCUGGGAGAUCUCAGAGGAAGAAGCAUCAGGAGUAUUUGAUCUGCAGGGUCUAGCUUCUGGCUGCUCCUUGGCCUCGCAUGAAAUGGCUGGAGGGCCAAACUUACUUGGGACACAAAGCCAUCACUACUUUGAUAAUGAGAAGCUCUGCCCCUUUUUAAAUAUCCCUUCUCUCCCCAAAUGACAGAUGAUGUAGUUUAUUUGUUCCCCCAGUGUUUGAAUGGGGUACGUCUCUGAUGAGAAAGUUCUGAAGUCUUCUCCAGACAGGGUAAAAAAGAUACUUGUGGAUGGGGAAAAGAAAUGGCUUUGGUUAUCAAGAUAUGCAAGGUACUGUCAAGAGACAGUACCUUCUAUAUACUAUGCAUUUGUUUCAUUGUCCUCAAUGGCUCUCGGAUUCCUAGACCUCUCCAGUGGCUAAAAUCCUCUUAUUUACUCACCUGUUAGUAUUUGCAAAAGUUUCAAUCUGACAUGAAGUUCAACUUUAUGUGUUGUCAGAUUGUUGUGUUGUGUCAGUUUGGAGUUAACCUUGUCUGUCAAAGUGCAUGGUCAUCCAUCAACUAUUAAAGUUUCUUCUGCCCAGUGGGUAUUUCAAAUAGUAGAGAAUCACGCUGGUUAUAGAGCAAAUAUACUUCAAUUCAGCUCUCACUCUGUCAUUGCUGGACCAGUAAUACAGAACAGCUGAAGUGUUUUUAUUAAUACUUUUCAUAUCUAAAGUCUAGAUGUAGGAUAUUUAUGGUAGGCAGAUUGUGUGAUUUCACUUACUCGUGGAGCCAUUGGAAUUUCCUCAUCUUCGGUAUCAUAUAGAGCUCAUCCUGUCCCCUGGGUUCAUGCAUAAAAACAUCUGGUAUGCAUGAAGAAAGUGUUGAAAUAGGUAGAAAUUUCAGUCUUAUAUGCUUCUUUUUGGAAAAGAGCCAGUCAACACUCAGGAUGAGAGAAGACACCUUGGGGAGAGCAGUUCAUGGGUGUAGGCAGGAGAGGACUUGUAAUCCUGCACUAGUGUGUGCUACAAAGAAAAGAUGGUGCAACUAAUUUCAGGCAUAUGGUGUAAAAGGCAAUUUUAUUUGUUGUUAUAAAAAGUGGAGACCAAAGCACUGUUAAUAUGAAGGGGGCUUAAUUUUUCUAAUUUUUCUCUGAAUUAAUGAAAAGCCUGAAGUUCUUUUUGGGUGUCAUAAUGUCUUUGAAUCUGUGUGGAAAGCAAAGUUCCCAACCUGACAGAGCAUCAACUAGUAGAAGCAAAGCAGCUCAGCAGUAUUUAUUUUCUUCUCUUUUGAGAAAUAGGAUUCACUAUCUUUCAUUCUGUUUGUCUUGGUUUUUUUUCCCACUUUCUCCUUCAACAAUUCUUUCACCACUUAGUUCUGGUUUGACAACUCUAUGCUGACAAAGAAGUUAAGAUUGAUGACCUCUGAUGUACUUCUGGUCAGAGAAGAUGAAUCAAAGUAAAUUGUUUUACUAGUUAAUCAAAGCAGCCUUAUUUUAUUUUUUUUUUUUUCAGAAGUAGGGCAAACGAGUUCAGGGAGCAAAGACAGUGGAAUGACAGGGAGGUAGUUGGAUGUAAUCUGGUGGUGGUGUUUGCUAAAAGCUCGAGGUAUAUUGCUAGUUUGUUCAGACUGAGACUUCGGUCUCAGCUCAGAAGGAGCUAUGUGAGUCUGUUUCAUAAUGGAAAUGGAUGUUGGUUUAGUUUUGUAACCAGAACUAAUAUGAUUUGAAAUAGCCAAACUAUUUUUACUUUUAUAAUUGGCCCUGAAUAUUCUUCUCAUUCUCUUCCAUUCAGCAUCAGUUAAGGAACAUGUGAUCCUUGGAGACCAAGCUGUAGCGUAAAUAAUGAAGCCAUUAAGCCUGCCAUUUUUUGGUUUUGAUGGAAAAUGUUUCAGAAAACUAGAAAAAAAACCCCAACAUAACAAACCCAUGUAUUCCUACAUAUUAGUAUAAAAAUUGUCCCUAUUUGGGACUUCCUGAAUCAAAGACCCCUGUUUGGAGCAGUCUUAUCAGGAAUGAUUUGCUGCAGACAUCAAAUUGAAGCAGAAUUUGAGAGUUCCCACCACAGAUGUUGGAAAGUGCAAUCUUGGGCUUUAUCACAGGUAUUAUGUUCUUGUACCUCUGAUAGCUGUGACAGUGGUCAAAACCCUGAGGACUCACUGUGCUUUGUGUUGGCAGGAAAUGUGUAUGCAAUCUGUAGCACAUUUUAAGAUUUUACUUUUUACCUUCUUUUUUGAGAGCUGAAAAACUGUCCAGGGCUUUGCGGGCAAUGUAUUAAUGUAUGCUGCAUGUACUCCAGAAGAAAUCCAGCAUCCAUUGACCUCAAAAAGGUGGUGAUCAAGCAGAGAAGAUGCUGUUUUCCUAUGGUUUCUGUGUAUUUGUGACUGCUAUGCUUUAUUUCCAGGAAAAUAUUCAGUGGCUUAUAGAUCUUGUUCAACAGAUACAGAGGCUCCUUCUAUCCCUGGCAGCAGAAGCCACGUUCUUAAACCCAUUCUACUCACUUGCUCCAUCCUUUUCUACCCUCAAGAAAGGCUGAACUGCAGCCCCUACCUGGCAACUACACUGAGUGCCCUCCAGUAAUCCUCUGUCCUUCAGUUCGGGCCUACUUGUUGCUCAUUAGUUCUCUCUUGAACCUUUGUACUUGCCCUUUUCCAAACUACUGUCUCUCCUGAAACCACUUUAAAAAAAUACAUUUCAUUUUUAGGGAGUGCAUGGAUCUGGUGGUCUUUUAGUGUAAGGGUAGGCAAAAACCUAUCCAUACAGAUGUGCUCCCUUGCCAGCUGGGAAUAUUCAUGUAGAAGUGAUACUUAAAGUUUUCUAAAGUAUUUUGAUUAGAAAUACAUUUCUGUUUCCAAGCAGAGAUUUUGAGGAGCUUCUUCACAGCCCGAACAUAUGCAUUUUAGGGAUAGUAAAGUGGAGUCUGCUUAAAAUCCAUGAGAAAGUUUCAAGUUCUGGAUUAGUGCUGACAUCUGCUGUUUGUUCUUACCAUAUACAUGAAACGCAGCACAAGGAAUCGUUGCCUGCGUGCUUUCUGCUGCCUCAAUUCCAUGUUUUAUUUAACACAAGCUAAAAUUAAUAGAAAUCACAAGAUGCAGUAAAACCUCCACGGGUCAAUGACUAUUCUUAUUGGGUUUUAAGACAUGGAGCGAGGAGCUGACAACAAAGAUGAAACUGAAUCCUUUUUAUCUUUCUAAAUAACUGUCAAUGCCUCUAAGUGGGGAAAGGGCUUGAGACAGGAGACCUAAGGAAUGAAGCUGUCUAUGUAUAGGGUGGAUAUUUAGCCUGAAAGUUCUUUGCUGCAGGGACCACUUUUAUGUUAUCUGUUUCUACAGAAACCUGUAAAAUACUGGGAUCCUAAUCCACAGCUGGCAAAGCUGGUUGCUACUGCAUGGUGAAGGGGUUAUGGCAACAGCACGAGAACAUUUUCUCCUCAUCUUUGUUGCCUGUUCCCAUUUGGACCCAGCAGCACCAGUACAAACGGUGUCAGCUGCCAGUCUGGUCACAACUACGGGUAUCACUCUGAGUAACCUGGCCAGGUGUUACCACUCAGUGCGGUGACUGCAAGGAAGAACUUCUGGGAGACAACAGCUCCUUUCAUAUAGUUUAUUAAGCAGCUUUUGUGGUCAUGUAGUCAUUGCUGGGUCAUACAGGAUCAACAGUAUAUCAUGUGCUUUGUUUUUGCUCAGGUGCCUGACUCUUCCAUCUCUUGCCAGUCAUCCUCCCUCCUAACCUCACCCCAAACAAUUGCGUGGGAUAACAGAGUUUUAGAUAACGAGAUUUUCUUUGUGAUGAGGUCACCAUUACAACAGGCAUCAGGGAGAAGAUAAGCACAGGACGUUCUGUGGAAAUCCCAGAUUAGUGCAGCACAUGACAACACUUAUGUUUCCUCUCUCAAAUGAAAGCAAAUCCUUCACUUAAAUGAACUGAUCACAUGCACUGAUCCAAAUACAACCGUGACAGCUGUCAAUAGCAUUCCUUUUACAGGGCAUUGGAAUUAAGCACACAAAUAUUCCCAUUUUUAGGAUGUGUUUGCUGUGAUAAGUAUCAUGAGUCAGAGAGAUGUAGAAUUUUCAGGUCGAUUUUAAAAUUAGAAAGGCUUUAAAAUGAGAGUUGGAUAAUUUUUAUCUAUUCUGUGGCAUUUCAGUCCACUAUAAUGUCACUUUUCCAAACUUCACAACCAUUGAUCCUGUAUUUUUUUCCUUGUAAAAUACUUCAUUUCCUGUCCCAUGAAUCCAGGAUCAGGGCUUUCAAGAGAUUUACAUUCAAACUGGGAGUUUUGGUAAAACAGUACUCCAGCUUUCAUGACAGACAAUGUUAACUAACAUUGUUGAAGGUCAGGUUUCUGGGAUCUCUGGCUUUUAUUCUCUUAAUGGUUUUAAACUAAAAGAGAGUAGAUUUAUCAGAUAUAAGGAGGGAAUUCUUUAUUAUGAAGGUGCUGAAACAUUUCAUCAGAUUGCCCAGAGAAGUUGUGAAUGUCCCAUCUGUCAAAGUUCAAGGUCAUGUUGGAUGGGGCUUUAAGCAACCUGAUCUAGUGAAAGAUCUCCCUGCUCAUGGCAGAGGGAUUGACCUAGAUGAUCUUUAAUGGUCCCUUCUGACCUAAACUAUUCUGCAAUUCUGUCAUUCUUCGACAACUUCCAGUGUCUCUGUCUGAAGUCAGAAAGGUUCCCUCAGGACAAAAGAUACCAACAAUGAAAAAUAUUUUGUCAUAAAUGCAAGGUAAAGCCAAAAUAUGAAUCCAAGAAAACCUGUGAAUUUCAACAUGCUCUGUUGUGAUGAUUGUAAUGUAAUUGUAAUGAUUCAUAAGAGAGUCUAACGAUUAAAUUAGUGUGAUAAACAAAGAAUAUGACUGAUACAGAACAUAUUUAACUUUUUAUGCAGAUGAAUUAUGUUAGCAAAUACAGUCAGUCUCAAAAUUGUUAUUAUUAUAGAAAAAUAGUAAUAGCAAAAUUUAGAAAACUCAUUUAAGUCCUUAUAAGGAGUGACUUUACCACUGUAAAUUAGAAAUAAGUAGUUGACAGGUGACACUAAUUGUUUUAGACUGGAGGAGAUUGAGGCCUUUAAAUUUCAAUCCCAGUAAGCACAAAUAGACUCUCAGAAGUCACUGAGGUUUUCACUAACCCAAAGCUGAGGCUGGUGUGGUGCCUCCUUCUCAGGCCCACACUGGGACCUGGCUCAGGCUUUCUACGUCCCUGAGACUGCGGGCUGGUUGGACAGGUUUCCAGCUGCUCAUGAGCCUUCCUUGAGAGGUUUGUGUGCACUCAGUGAGCUGUGGGGCGUGGGGUUACCAGCUUUGAUUACGCAACUGAAGGCUUCUCUGGACGCACACAACCGUGGUGCACUUGGGCUCCGAGCAUCCCACGGGUGGUGUGAAUAAUGGGAAGAAGCAGAUCCUCGCCUUGCCAUCAAGCAGUGCUUCCUGUGUGCAGGAGGUGAUUGCUACUCUCUGUCAGUGCAUGAACAUACUGUUCUCUCCUGAAGGGAGGGGUGACAAUAAGUAAGUUCCUGUAUGAAGCCAUUUUCUUUGCAUUGUAAUUACAUGUGGUGUCAACAAGUUGCAUGAGUUGCUUCAGUUUCCAUGACAUCAUAUAAUUCACUUCAUAGAACUGAAAAGGCUACUGAGAGCAUGAGGGCAAGAGGUAUCUUGUGUCUUUUGUGCAAGAGAGUUCUUGCUAUGUUAAAAAUCAGCUAUUUUCCCCCCCUCCCCCCCAAAUCCUUUUGGUUAAACCCUCAUGCCAUAUCCCCAACUAUUUUUUUUAUUUAGCAUUUAGAAAAUUCAUGUCUUCUGCCAAUUAACGUUUUUGAGGACAAAUUCACCUUUGGGUGAAUUACCAGUUCUUCACAAGGUGCUUGGAUGUAACUACGUUAUUUUGACUUGUCUCUGGGGCAUGGUGCUCUCUAAGUGCUACCUCUGCCAUCACUUUGGUCCUUGAAAUGGGACUUGAUAUUUAUGGUCAAUUUGGUUGAGACCUAGAGAAGAUGCAAAGUAUUAUAUGAACAGGGAUAGUCAAUGACAUUAAUGUGCUCUGAUAUCUCUUCAUUAUUCGAAAGAAGCCAGGGAUAGGGAAAAAAGAGUGGAGUCUUCAAUAGUGUGAUUAUCUGAUGCAAUUGUAUUGUCGUCUGAGGUGGCCAUAGGACUAAAUUGUGAAACAAUAAAUAAAAUAAUUUUCAUCACCUACUUUGUUUGUCUUAAAUUCCUAUUAAUUUAACAGGAUUUGUAUGAAAAAGACCUUCCUGAAAGUAUUCACUUGUAAGUGCUCACAAUAAAUCUGGCCUGAAAAAAUGCCUUCCCUUAGGCUGAUCCUCAGAAGGUUCUCCUAUAAUCAUGUUCCUGAUGCUGAGGAAUACUCAAGGAUUGUUUCCUUGCGGGACUUUUCAUCACUUACAAUAUCCUCAUGUCCCAGUAUGCUGACUGCUGUGUAAUAUGUCAGGGGCAGGUUGUCAUUACCCUGAUUUAGACAGCUGGUUAGUUCUUCUCUCUUUCUCCAUCUACCAUUUUUACUGACAAAGCCUCACAUGCCAUCUCCUCUUCUUGCGAUUGCAAAGACUGGCAAAGUAGUUCUUACUAAAGCUGACCGGGGUUAGGGUGAGGAGCAAGGUUCAGAGGCAGUAUUGCAGUGAGGAAGGGAACAAUCUGUUCUCUGUUUUUAGGACAAGUAGUGAUGGAUGUGUAUUGCAGCAAGGAAGAUUCAAGUUAGACAUUAGGAGUAAAAAAACACUUUGUAAGGGCAAGGGCAGGGAAGUGCUGGAGCAGAUUGCCUCAAGAGUUGGUGGCAGCUAUGGAAGACUAUGAAAUCAAGUUAUAGAAGCACUGUCAGGACUGACAUGGACAGUGUUGGUCCUACUCGGUUGUCAGCAAAGGGAUGGAAGUUGUAAUCUUUCUGGGACUCCUCCACAAAGAAAUUACUUUGCCUCACAGACCUUUGCUGUAGAAGGCAGGAGGAGUGCCUGACACCACAGGAGGCUUCAGAAGAAAGAUAAUAGUACUUACCUACCUAACAGUCUUGUCAGCAUGGAGCUAUCUCGUUUGAUAGCACUACUGAAUCCAGGAUCAGCAGCUGCCCUGCCUUUGAUUCUUACAGGAGACACAGCUUCUCUUGCUGCCUUCUGCCACCACAUUCCCACACAGGACAGUGGGGCCACAUCUUCACUGCUGCCCUCAGACUCCUGGCACUGUGCAACUCCACCAUGGGCGUUUUUCCUCACCACCCCUGUACAGUUCCUCCUCCCCAGCUGCCAGGGCUGCUGCUGCUGAAGCAGAUGUUGAACGGCCUCUCCUGGUUUUCUGUGUUUUCACUUCUCUUCUGUCUAUAAAUGUUAUCUGUAUAAAUGUUAUCUGGGCCAAUGCAAAUUAUGGCACUAAUAAUUUUGAACACUGCUAACAAUUUCACUGUGUUGUUCUCUUACUUUAAGAGAUUAAUCACUGAGAAAAAAAAUGUAGAAUACGUCAAGAAGCUUUUAGAGACCUGAUAUCUGAGGAGUUUCAUUACCUCCUAGAGCAUUAAAACAAGGCUCCCCCUUGAAAAGGGUUAGAGUGUUGUUGGGUUUUUUUACAAAUUUUCUUCAAAUACUUUUGUUUUACUUUAUCACCUGAAACAGCUGUGCCCCAUUGGUAACAUCAUAAACCGCCACUGUACAACUAUCUUUAUGAUUGCUCAGAAGGGCAUUGAGAAUGCCUCUAGCAUGACUUAAGGCAUAUGGAAAUAGUGUAAAAGUUGUAAGCAAUAGUGCUUAUAUUUUUAUAAUCACUAUAAUAAAGACAAAACAUGGUGGAUAGGGGAAAAAGUAAAUUUAAUCACAAGAAAUAUUUACAGAGCUGUAUCACUGGACUGCGUCUACAAGAUUGUUAUACAGCGCAAUGGAUCUUAAAUACUUCCAAGAAAUCACCUUGUCCAGUCUUUCUAACUAUCUGAGUAGUUAAGAAUCUGGAGGGAGAUGGUUUGAGGACAUGCAUUCAUAAAAAUCAACACAUUACAGUAAUUUCAGUAAUUUCAAAGCCCCAAGAAGACUCAUCAAAUGCUCUGGCAAUUGGUUUGCUUAACUAAAAAACAUACCACAAUGAAAGACACAAUAAAAUAAAGCAGAAUGGAGGAAAAGUUUGAAUCAUCUUCUGUAAAAGAGAUGAAAUACUAAAGCCAAGAAGCCAGAAGUCUCCUUAAGCAGUGUAAAAAUGUUGCUGGAAUCAAGGACCUAACAAUCCUGAAGGCUGUACUCAUGCCCCCCACAUUAAUUCUCGUGACUGCUUACCAGAUUUGGGGUUGGGUGUAAUCUGAACCUUAGACGAUAAAAUUAGAAAAUCCCUGGGGCCACAGGCCUCUGAAGAGUGUGUGCAUCACCCAUAGCAUGGAGUUAUUAAAAAUUUAGUAGAGCAACCUGCACUCCUCUCUCUGUGGACCUAGCUGUGCAAAACCUCACUGAGGUUAACGUGUGCCGUUUACCUUAGGAGAGAAAUUGUCCUACUGUCUCUGUGAUUUUUUUAUGCUUCGGUUUAAGGAUUUGGCAGUAGGUCUUAGAUUAGGAAAGUUAACUUCUUAUUGCCAGUGGCAUCAGAAUGAAACUUGUUACUAAGCUUUGUGUGUUUUCUUCUCUAUUGCCCUUCUGGAACAAGUAACCUGACAAAUGGAGAGAAGGUAAACUUAAAGACUACUUCAGACUGACUGGAGAGGUCAGAAGUCUCUGGUUUUAUCCAAAUGAAAUAUGAUGAUCCGAUGUUGUUCUACAAAAUUUUCCAUGACAAAAUAACAGCAAUCAUGGUGUUUUUUUUCCCAGAAUUUGCUUUAUCUGCUGUCCUAAACUGGAUACAGACUAGUUUAUGUUUACUUCAUUGUAGAUCUUUUUUAUAUAAUUUUUUUUUCUUCCUACUCUGUCCCAUGAGUUCAUGAACUUGUCUGUUUAAAGAUUCCCACUGGAAUGCUGAAAAACGUCAUUGUUUUCUUUGGGCAACCGUAACAUAAUGGGAGUCUGGGUGUCUGGGUUGUUAGAUAACAUACAUUUUAACCAUCAAGCUUUUGUCUGUAAAUGACAAUUUACUGUUAGAAGAUCUACUGACUUUGCAUCCUAACAAGCCAAUAUGAGCAAGAAGUUCACUACUUUGUUCUCUGUGAGACUGAUAUAGGACUGAAAAAUGAUUUUUGCCUUUGUUUUAUUAUUCUGUUCACACUAUUCUUUUAAAAUACGGGUUUUCGUUGAACAUAAUUUAUCUUCUGGAGUUAGAGAAUAUCUAAAUAUUAUGAAAUGUUUUGAAAGCAGAAAAAUAAUCUGAAUUUGUUUUUAUUUUCCUUUGUUCUUUUAACCGAUGUACCUUGAAAACUAAGUAUUACUUCUUUUUGAGUAGUUCAAAAGAUCCCUGAAAUCUGAAAACAGGCAUAAGUUGAAUUUCAGAAACAAGACAUUCUAUAAAACUUUAAUAAAGCUUUUUGGUGUUCAUAAAUAAAUAUUUAAUGGAAUAGAAAUAUUUGAAAAAGUACUGAGUUUUUAAUUUGCCACAUUUCAAAUGUUUCAAAAGUAUAAGCAAAUUUUUAGCUAGUUCUUAAUUAAGGCUAAGUCUGCAGUUUACUUUUGGCUUUCAACUAAAACAAAAGAUUGAUACGCAUCAUUGCCAGUCUAAUCUGCAAAGUUAAAAGAGAUUCCAGAUGAAAGAUAUACAAAUUCAUAAAUAAUUUUAAAUAAAGAAAUCAAAUUAAUUGUCUCUUAUGAUUACUUAAGGUAAGGUGGUGUGUGUUGUCAUAUUCCAUUUUAGACUUAAAUUUUGCAUUGACACAAAUCUCUAAUUGGGAACAAAAUAUGUAUAAAAACCAAGUAAUCAAACAUUUUACAAGUCGUGGCAAUUGCAAAGAAGGAGAAAUUAGCAAGAAAUUUGUUCAAAAGAUCUUAUGCAAACAUGACUAAUCACUAAUUAAUGAUUAGAAAAAUUUAUUAAUAAAGAUGACAUAUGAAGAAUGUAAAGCAGAAGUUAUACAAGACAAAGUUAAGACAAUUUCCAUUGUGAUUUCUGACGCAAUCUAUGAUUUUUGUCUCUCUUUCUCAUCGUGUUGGUGCUCUGGAAUUUCAUCAUCCUCUUUGGUGGAC